rnacentral:misc_RNA from 1 species
AAGUCGUAACAAGGUUUCCGUAGGUGAACCUGCGGAAGGAUCAUUAUCAUAAAACUCUUUGUGCUCGCGCAAAGUUUUAAACCCACUGUGAACCAAAAACCUUUAUAGCUUCGGUAGCAUUUGCUGCGGUCAUCCGUUGCAAUGUCAGCCUGCCGGUAGCAACCAAACCAAACUCUUGUUUAAAAAAUUCUUGUCUGAAUCAAAAUUUUCGAAUGAAAAUCAAAACUUUCAACAACGGAUCUCUUGGUUCUC